AUUGAACGCUGGCGGCAUGCCUAACACAUGCAAGUCGAACGGCAGCACAGUAAAGAUUUCGGUCUUUAUGGGUGGCGAGUGGCGGACGGGUGAGUAAUGCGUAGGAAUCUGUCCUGGAGAGUAGGAUAACCCGAGGAAACUCGGGCUAAUACUGCAUGAUAUCGAGAGAUCAAAGGCAGGGGGCCCUUCGGGGCCUUGCGCUCUAGGAUGAGCCUACGUCGGAUUAGCUAGUUGGUGGGGUAAAGGCCUACCAAGGCGACGAUCCGUAGCUGGUCUGAGAGGAUGACCAGCCACACUGGGACUGAGACACGGCCCAGACUCCUACGGGAGGCAGCAGUGGGGAAUCUUGGACAAUGGGGGAAACCCUGAUCCAGCGAUGCCGCGUGUGUGAAGAAGGCCUUCGGGUUGUAAAGCACUUUAGUUGGGGAAGAAAAGUAAUGAGUGAAUAACUGAUUGCUCUGACGGUACCCAAAGAAUAAGCACCGGCUAACUCUGUGCCAGCAGCCGCAGUAA
rnacentral:rRNA from 1 species